GCUAUUGCGGAAAGCAAGAACAGAUUUAAUCAAGAACAGCUGAAUCAAUAUGCUAAAAUCAAUUUUCUUGCUACGCGCCAGUCUCUGCAAGUAAACACCAGUUUACCUGGAACAUCAGCGAAAGGACAACAAACUUCCAAUGACUCGUACUCUAAUAAUAACAUACCACUUGUGUAAUGAGGGCAUCCCUAUCACCAAUCGACCAAGAACUGUUUGGAGAUAAUUAAGUUGAUCCAUUAGAUCCAUUAGCUAAUGAUCCUUUAGCAAAUUCACUCCUGAAGAACCUAUAGUUCCACGUCAUGAGGCACCUGCAGGUUCUCCACAUUUACGUGAUCCGAUAAAUGGAAUACGAGAUAGAAAUAUAAUCCGUAACCCACGAAGGCUUUUUGUACAAAGGCCUGUGGAACCUGUCGCAGUUGAUCCAGAUGAGCGAGAAAUAAAUUUAUACAUUACUCCUGAUGCUACAGAUGUUGAUCCUGAAGGAAAAGUAAAGUAUCAAAUCGAUAACAAUAUGAUUUAUUUGGGCAAUGGUACAUCCGUCAACACAGAAUUCUGGGAAUUCCUCAAAACACGUGGAGAUUACAUAUUUCUGAGAGAAACGGCGGAACUUGUUUGUAUCAAACAAAAACUUGUUAAUAGAUGUAUUAAGCCGUCAAAAGUAUCAAUUAACAUACGGAACCGAAGUCCUCGAAAAGUGAUUACACCAAGAAAAUAUUUUUUGGUCAGAGAAUUAUUCAAAGAUUACAUGGAAGAGAGAAAGUACAAUGACGCAAAGAAAAGAGAAUUAAUUUCCAAAUUUAAUCGCCAACUAGGUUAUAAAAUCAAGGACUUGAGAAGAUCAUUUUCAAAGACUUCAAAAAAAUAAUUUUAGUUUUAAGUAUUUCACAAGCGAGUUAUUCUAAUAUUUAUUAAUGGUUAUUGUUUAAAAACAAUAUUCUAUGUUUCAUUGAAAAUUUCAUAAUUUUCUAUAGGUUAUUAACCAAAGAGUUGAGGUCUAUCUGUAAGUGUUUGUAGACUUACAAAAAAUAAUUCUAUUCUUAAGUAUUUCACAAACGAGAUUAAUCAUUAUUGUUUAAAAACAAUAUUCUGUAUUUGAUUGAAAGUUCCAUAAUUUUAAAUCAUUAACCAAAGAGUUGAGGUUUAUCUGCA